CCAUGUCGCAGAGGACGAGCUGGAGGACGGAGGUACGGCGGAGCCACUACAAGGCGGUGGUCGACGGCGAUAAGGGACGGCGGAGGAGAGAGGAUGAGAUGGUUGAGAUCCGCAAGGCCAAGAGAGAUGAGUGUCUCGCGAAGAAGCGGCGCGAGAGUACUCCUAACGCUCUCUCCGUUGAGAAGUUGGAAUGUUUUCCGACUCUGGUAGCUUAUGUUUGGUCGGACAAUAAGGAUUUGCUGCUUGAGGCUACAACUCAGAUCAGAGCAUCACUUUGUAGUGAAAGUUUUGCUGUACGUGUUGAAGAAGUUAUACAGGCUGGUUUAGUUCCACGAUUCGUGGAGUUCCUCAUAUGGGAUGACUUUCCACAGCUUCAAUUUGAAGCUGCUUGGGCUCUUACAAAUAUUGCAUCUGGCACAUCUGAAAACACUGAAGUAGUGAUUGAUCAUGGUGCUGUUCCAAUACUGGUGAGACUUCUCAACUCGCCAAACAAUGAUGUCCGUGAGCAGGCUGUCUGGGCAUUGGGAAAUAUUUCAGGGGACUCUCCUAGAUGCCGUGAUAUAGUCCUGGGACAUGGCGCUCUGCUUCCUCUGUUAUUGCAAUUAGAUGACAGCCCUAGACUCUCUUUGCUUAGAAAUGCAAGUUGGACUUUGUCAAACUUCUUCAGGGGAAAGCCUCAGCCUCCAUUGGAUCGUGUGAGUGCUGUGUUUCCAGCUCUAGCUCGUCUCAUUCGGUCAGACGACAAGGAAGUCUUGACCAAUGCGUGUUGGGCUCUGUCGUAUCUAUCCGAUGGUACAAAUGAGAAGAUCCAAGCUAUAAUUGAAGCCAAACUUUGUGCACGACUUAUCGGUCUUAUGGCCCACUCUUCGCCAUCAGUUGUCCUUCCUGCUCUUCGCACCAUUGGAAACAUUGUAACCGGUGACGAUAUUCAGACUCAGCUUGUCAUUGACCUUCAUGCGCUCCCAUGCUUUCUGAAACUUCUGAGGGAACCCUAUAACAAGACCAUCAAGAAGGAAGCCUGUUGGGCGAUCUCUAACAUCACAGCCGGUGAUAGAAAACAGAUUCAGGCUGUAUUCGAUGCUGAUAUAUGUCCUGUACUUAUUAAUCUGCUACGAAAUGCUGAAUGUGAUGUUAAGAAAGAGGCUGCUUGGGUAAUCUGCAAUGCUACCCUAGGAGGUUGUGACAGGCAAAUCACACUCCUUGUAGACCAAGGCUGCAUUGAACCACUGUGCAAUCUCCUCACAUGCUCGGAUCCUGACAUCAUAAUGAUUUGUUUACGAGCCCUCGAGAAGAUACUGAAAGUGGGACAAAGUUUGUGUCAGGAUGCAGAAGUAAAUGUCAAUCCGCAUGCCCAGAUGAUAGAGGAUGUCGAGGGGUUGGAUAAAAUCGAGAGCCUGCAGUCUCAUGACAACGAAAACAUCUACGACAUGGCGGUGAAGAUUCUAGAAACGUAUUGGCUGGAGGAAGGAGAAGAAGGACAACAAGACAUGAUGGUUUUCACCACUGAUGACGAUACCGAGUAGCAUGUUCACCGCUUGCUGAUAAAAUCUCACUACCCUCUGAUACUUUCAGUGGGGAAAAUACCGAGAGACCCUAAAAGGGAGGAGGUUAGAAUCUGAAGAUCAUAGUUCACAGCAUAUAAGACUCCAUGUUUCUGCUGUGCAUUAUUUUCACAAGGAUCAGAGUUCGUAGGCCUACUGAAAAAAAAAAGGUUAGAGAGAUUCCAUUGAUUGCUUUGGUACUUUGAGAAAUUCUGGUAUAGUAAUGAUAACGUGUUACUUACAAUAAUUCCCUGUGGGUAAUUAGCCAUCACUUGAUGAUUAGCAGAUUCAGAAUGUUAAAGAGUUUCUUUCUUUUUUUUCUUUUUUUUUGUACGAACAAC